rnacentral:rRNA from 1 species
GGGUUGUGAGGUUAAGCGACUAAGCGUACACGGUGGAUGCCUAGGCAGUCAGAGGCGAUGAAGGGCGUGCUAAUCUGCGAAAAGCGUCGGUAAGGUGAUAUGAACCGUUACAACCGACGAUACCCGAAUGGGGAAACCCAGUGCAAUUCGUUGCACUAUUGCAUGGUGAAUACAUAGCCAUGC